CAGACUUAAUUAAAAAUGGAGAAAGAUUUGUCUUUUCUACAAGACAGAGAAACACGUUGGAAGACUGGUGGAGAAUUAACGUCCUCGUUGGAAUCUCUUUAUAAUAAAUAUUGUGAUGAGCUUGAUGAAGCGAAGAGUGCAUUAUCUACGACUCUUAUCAGAAAAUGAGAAAUUGGCAAAAAGAAACAAGGAGCUAGAGGAGCUUCUAAAGCUAGAUGAGGUGCGUACAAUAGUCACGGAAAGGAAGAAGAAUGUAAUGAAGUACGGAAGCAGCAACAGCAAGAGCAUGCACAAGUGCCUUCACAACUUUCUAGAAAGAGAAAGUAUGAUCUUAGAAGGAGAAAGUACGAUGUUAAAUGAUAACGAGAAAUUUUAACAGGUUGGAUGCAAGUUGUAAAAGCGAGGGUUACCUACGUAUUCGAGUAGAUUUAAUUUCAUUUUUGAAAAUCUGAAUUGUUAAAUUGUGGUGGUUGUAGUUAAAAUUAUGCAUUUUAACUGUUUUUAAAAUGACAUACAUAUUCUUAAAGUUAUAUGAUUUGCAUUCAAAUACAAUAUAAAAAAAUAGGAAAAUAAAAUUCAAUCUUCAUUCAAGACAAGAAGUAUAGUCAGUUUUAGCUUCCAACAAGUAGCCAAGGCAAAUAGUUUUCCAAAGAAUAUAUACCAUAAUUUUGUAAUUGCAUCAUGUUAUUGAAAAGAAGCUUGGUGGAUAA